UACACUCCUACGGGAGGCAGCAGUGGGGAAUAUUGGACAAUGGGCGCAAGCCUGAUCCAGCCAUGCCGCGUGAGUGAUGAAGGCCCUAGGGUUGUAAAGCUCUUUCACCGGUGAAGAUAAUGACGGUAACCGGAGAAGAAGCCCCGGCUAACUUCGAGCCAGCAGCCGCGGUAAUACGAAGGGGGCUAGCGUUGUUCGGAUUUACUGGGCGUAAAGCGCACGUAGGCGGACUAUUAAGUCAGGGGUGAAAUCCCGGGGCUCAACCCCGGAACUGCCUUUGAUACUGGUAGUCUUGAGUUCGAGAGAGGUGAGUGGAAUUCCGAGUGUAGAGGGGAAAUUCGUAGAUAUUCGGAGGAACACCAGUGGCGAAGGCGGCUCACUGGCUCGAUACUGACGCUGAGGUGCGAAAGCGGGGGGAGCAAACAGGAUUAGAAACCCCUGUAGUCCCA
rnacentral:rRNA from 1 species